UUUAGUCACUGUCUCAGUUUGUUCUCUUCAUUGUCUCAUAAUUGUUAGGGUUGUUUCUCUUCUCUGUGUUACACUUGUACGAUUCAGGUUUUCGAUUUUGUUUCUCUUCUCUGUGUUAGAGUUGUUCGAUUAUGUUUUGAUUUAACUUACACACUAACUUUUUCUUUUGUUAACUGCAGAUGACCUCAAGAAGAGGACC
rnacentral:lncRNA from 1 species